rnacentral:rRNA from 1 species
AGGCGUGAUGACGAGGCACUACGGUGCUGAAGCAACAAAUGCCCUGCUUCCAGGAAAAGCCUCUAAGCAUCAGGUAACAUCAAAUCGUACCCCAAACCGACACAGGUGGUCAGGUAGAGAAUACCAAGGCGCUUGAGAGAACUCGGGUGAAGGAACUAGGCAAAAUGGUGCCGUAACUUCGGGAGAAGGCACGCUGACACGUAGGUGAAGUGAUUUACUCAUGGAGCUGAAGUCAGUCGAAGAUACCAGCUGGCUGCAACUGUUUAUUAAAAACACAGCACUGUGCAAACACGAAAGUGGACGUAUACGGUGUGACGCCUGCCCGGUGCCGGAAGGUUAAUUGAUGGGGUCAGCGCAAGCGAAGCUCCUGAUCGAAGCCCCGGUAAACGGCGGCCGUAACUAUAACGGUCCUAAGGUAGCGAAAUUCCUUGUCGGGUAAGUUCCGACCUGCACGAAUGGCGUAAUGAUGGCCAGGCUGUCUCCACCCGAGACUCAGUGAAAUUGAACUCGCUGUGAAGAUGCAGUGUACCCGCGGCAAGACGGAAAGACCCCGUGAACCUUUACUAUAGCUUGACACUGAACAUUGAGCCUUGAUGUGUAGGAUAGGUGGGAGGCUUUGAAGUGUGGACGCCAGUCUGCAUGGAGCCGACCUUGAAAUACCACCCUUUAAUGUUUGAUGUUCUAACGUGGACCCGUUACCCGGGUUGCGGACAGUGUCUGGUGGGUAGUUUGACUGGGGCGGUCUCCUCCUAAAGAGUAACGGAGGAGCACGAAGGUUGGCUAAUCCUGGUCGGACAUCAGGAGGUUAGUGCAAUGGCAUAAGCCAGCUUGACUGCGAGCGUGACGGCGCGAGCAGGUGCGAAAGCAGGUCAUAGUGAUCCGGUGGUUCUGAAUGGAAGGGCCAUCGCUCAACGGAUAAAAGGUACUCCGGGGAUAACAGGCUGAUACCGCCCAAGAGUUCAUAUCGACGGCGGUGUUUGGCACCUCGAUGUCGGCUCAUCACAUCCUGGGGCUGAAGUAGGUCCCAAGGGUAUGGCUGUUCGCCAUUUAAAGUGGUACGCGAGCUGGGUUUAGAACGUCGUGAGACAGUUCGGUCCCUAUCUGCCGUGGGCGCUGGAGAACUGAGGGGGGCUGCUCCUAGUACGAGAGGACCGGAGUGGACGCAUCACUGGUGUUCGGGUUGUCAUGCCAAUGGCACUGCCCGGUAGCUAAAUGCGGAAGAGAUAAGUGCUGAAAGCAUCUAAGCACGAAACUUGCCCCGAGAUGAGUUCUCCCUGAGACUUAGAGUCUCCUGAAGGAACGUUGAAGACGACGACGUUGAUAGGCCGGGUGUGUAAGCGCAGCGAUGCGUUGAGCUAACCGGUACUAAUGAACCGUGAGGCUUAACCUUACAACGCCG